GUGUCAUAAAGCAGGGUCAGGUGACGUAAAUGCAAGGAAACUGAGGUAAAGUCUGGGGACCCUUGUAUUUAGUUCCAGUUAUGUUACAAAAGCUGGGCACAUGAUGUUCAGCCCGAGGACCAGACAUAAAGAGGGAACGUGAAAUAAAGCUGUGGCACCAGCUAUAAAGCCGGGAAUCUGAGAUGACCAAAAGCUUCGUGAGGACAUUUGCUGUCUCCUAAUUAGCUACGUCAUUGAUUCUGCGUGAGAACAGCCAUGAGGCUGGUGUCCCAAGCAGAGAUUUCCUCAUGUGGGCUUCGUGACCCACGCCAAUCUCCUUGCCCUGCACGUUCCCUGUAGCUGGGUCUCAGACACGGACCUGGCCACACAGAACCUCUCACGUAAGGUCUUCUGCCCUCUGAGUUGUCUCCAGGACACCGUGCUGCAGAACGGGGAGUCCUAGAGGAUUCUUCAGCUGCCUCAGCGUCCUCUGAGCUUCUGGAACUGACCCCUGUGAACCACAACGUGUCCUUUUAUGGAGCUAUCUGGACACGUUGUUCUGGCUCUAAUGUUGUACGUGUGUUCCCUCAAAGUUAUCUGUAUAACAGGUUAUCUGAGUCAGAAUAUUUGCCAUACGGAUUCCUGGAUGGUGCUGCGUUUUGAGCAAAACCAGGUUUCCUGGUACACAGCAGGUGGGAUGAAACGGCAUCACAAGCAGCUGACCCCGCAGCUUGUUUUCCCUCCAUGUUCCCUACUGCUUCUCCGUGUUCCUUGUUCUCUGCUUUUUCUUCUCCUUCCCUGCCUGCACUCACUGACCCUGCUCUCCUUCCUCCUCCCCAAUGCCUGUCCCUGUUCCCAACUCCUUUACCACGUUCCCCGAGCCCUCUCUUCCUACUUUCUGAUCCCGUUGCUGUUCUCCGUGUGAUCUGGUCUCUGUUUUUUCUCCCCGUUCCCUUCCCCCUCACUCUCAACCUGUCUCCAUCUCUCUGCUCCGUGGCUUCACCAAGACUCCGUUUCCUCUUCUCAAAUAUUUGAUUCACUUCUCUUCUCGAAUUGGGGUAGACUGCAGUAAUGGAGAGCAGACGGGGACUGACUUUGCUGUACUUUGAACGCUGUAGAUAGAUCUCAAAACAAAUUUGGGUUGAUGCUUUCCUGAAUUCCUGUCCCACGAAGAAGCCCCAUUUGCAUGAAAACAUUGAGUUCAAUCCACUUGUUGGUGACCGGCUCCUGAUGCCCUCUCUGCUUGCUCACUGUCAAUGAAACUACAUAAAUAAGAGCCUCCUGCACUUCACUACACCUCACCCAGUUGGUUAGUUGUCUUAAUCUCUAAGCUCGUAAAUCUCCCCAAACCUGUCAGUGUUCCCAAACACCUUAAGACUCCCAGGCUCACCAGUCAUCCCAAACACACCUUUCUUGCUAAUCCCAUCACCCCUCCUCCAAGACCUCAAAGCUCACUAAGCACAUGAAUUCUUAUCUGCAUGUGGGCACUUGUUUUGUUUUGUAACAGUUCACGGAUUUGUACACUUAUGAUGUUCACACAACAGUAUAAUAGAAUAAAUAAGUAUACCCAAA